rnacentral:rRNA from 1 species
CCUACGGGAGGCAGCAGUGGGGAAUUUUGGACAAUGGGGGAAACCCUGAUCCAGCCAUCCCGCGUGUGCGAUGAAGGCCUUCGGGUUGUAAAGCACUUUUGUCAGGGAAGAAAAGGUUCUGGCUAAUACCCGGAACUGAUGACGGUACCUGAAGAAUAAGCACCGGCUAACUACGUGCCAGCAGCCGCGGUAA